rnacentral:lncRNA from 1 species
GCUCACAGGAUCCUCCUACCUCAGCCUCCUGAAUAGCUCAGACUACAGGCACACGCCACCAUGCCUGGCUAAUUUUUUUUUUUUUUUUUUGUAGAGAUGGUGGGGCAGGGGGAGUCUUACUAUGUUGCCCAGGCUGGUCUCGAACUCCUGGGCUCAAGUAAUCCUCCCACCUCCUGAAGUGCUGGUGGCAUUACAGCGUGAGCCACUGUCCCUGGCCUCAUAUGUGUACUAUUUGAAUGUAGUCUUUAGGGAAGUUCCUGAUCAAGUCUUUUGUCAUUAAAAAAAAAUUAUUUGUCUUUUUCUUGUUGAUUUACAAGAGUGCUUUAUAUAUUUAGGAUGAGUCCUUUCUCAGGUAUGUAUUUUGCAAAUGUUUCCUGCAAUUUGUGGCUUCCAUUUUUCAUUUUCUUUUUCUUUUUUUUUUUUCGGGAGACAGAGUCUCACUCUGUUGCCAGGCUGGAGGGCAGUGGCACAAUCUCGACUCACUGCAAC